GCUGGGUUUGUCGAUAAGUGAAUUACAUUUUGUGUACCCGGUAUUUGAGCCCUAUAUGAUGCAUGAUCGUCGCUUCUAGUUUGCAACUACUUCAACAUAUUCAAUAUACAUGUAUAGUAUUAUUUGAAGUGUUAACGUUCAAGAUGGUAUGAAGUGUCAUACUUUAAGCAAUUAUAAUUUUUGAAGAGCAUUUGAAAUCUAAAAAUAGUACAUGAAGUCUUCCUGAUUAGCUUGAUAGAUUUUUUGUUUUCGAUAAAAGCCCCUCUGUA
rnacentral:lncRNA from 1 species